UACGUAGGGGGCAAGCGUUGUCCGGAAUCAUUGGGCGUAAAGCGUGCGCAGGCGGUUGUGUAAGACAGAUGUGAAAUCCCCGGGCUCAACCUGGGAACUGCAUUUGUGACUGCACAGCUGGAGUGCGGCAGAGGGGGAUGGAAUUCCGCGUGUAGCAGUGAAAUGCGUAGAUAUGCGGAGGAACACCGAUGGCGAAGGCAAUCCCCUGGGCCUGCACUGACGCUCAUGCACGAAAGCGUGGGGAGCAAACAGG
rnacentral:rRNA from 1 species